rnacentral:rRNA from 1 species
CCUACGGGUGGCAGCAGUGAGGAAUAUUGGUCAAUGUGCGCAAGCCUGAACCAGCCAAGUCGCGUGAGGGAAGACGGCCCUACGGGGUGUAAACCUCUUUUGCCGGGGAGCAAGCCUGAGCACGUGUGCCCAGGCGGAGAGUACUCGGAGAAAAAGCAUCGGCUAAAUCCGUGCCAGCAGCCGCGGUAAUACGGAGGAUGCGAGCGUUAUCCGGAUUUCUUGGGUGUAAAGGGUGCGCAGGCGGGCUGUUAAGCCGGCGGUAAAAAUUCAGGGCUCAACCCUGUCGAGCCGUCGGAACUGGCAGCCUUGAGUGGGCGAGAAGUAUGCGGAAUGCGUGGUGUAGCGGUGAAAUGCAUAGAUAUCACGCAGAACUCCGAUUGCGAAGGCAGCAUACCGGCGCCCAACGGACGCUCAUGCACGAAAGCGUGGGUAUCGAACAGGAUUAGAUACCCCUGUAGUC